rnacentral:sRNA from 1 species
AGAUGCAAAAUGUGUCUCUGGCCAGCAGGAGGAAGGAAGAGGAAGUGAGAGCAGCGGCAGCCGGCGGUGCAGCAGCCGGCCGACCCAGAGUAAAACCUUCUUGGCCUCUAACUGAGCAGCCCUCCAUAGAGGAUUAUUAGUUCAUGCCUCUGUGCAAGAAAGAAAAACAAAAACAAAACGCAUCAGUUCAUUCACUCUCCCAUCUCCCCUGCUGGCCUGAGAGCACCUGAACAUAGUGAUGGUACUGUAGCCAGUCAUCUGUGCAUCCUCUGUGCUCUGCCCACUGCCUGGCGUGUAGAAUAUACCCAGCAGGGGAUUUUCAGAGCUGACCAGAUGGGAGAGUGGUGAAACUGAAGAUCAGCCCUUUUCCCUGCCUGUUAGCACCUCUAGGAAAGAUUUAAGAGAUGUUUCAAACAAAUCACUCCAACGUAUUUGGGAUUGCUCAUUGUGAUGCCUGAUCUGUGCCAGCCUCUUCCUACCACAUCUGUGACUGUUACAGGGGUAACUAUUCCAUCCCUUAGUCUGCAGCACCCAGAAUGGAUGUGGAAUCACUGAAGGAGGUGAGUGGGGAAGAAGACAAGUUGGAUCCU